AGCUUCCUACGGGAGGCAGCAGUGGGGAAUAUUGCACAAUGGGGGAAACCCUGAUGGAGCAACGCCGCGUGAGUGAAGAAGGGUUUCGGCUCGUAAAGCUCUGUUGGUAGUGAAGAAAGAUAGAGGUAGUAACUGGCCUUUAUUUGACGGUAAUUACUUAGAAAGUCACGGCUAACUACGUGCCAGCAGCCGCGGUAAUACGUAGGGGGCAAGCGUUGUCCGGAUUUAUUGGGCGUAAAUCGAG
rnacentral:rRNA from 1 species